UAAAGGGAGGGAGAAGUGGCUGUGACAUCUGUCACCCAUCAUGUGCCAGGCUGAUUCAGCUGAUGUGGUGCCAUGGUGUCUCCUUUCUCCUUCACUACUCCAGGUGCCUCUGUUCCAAAGCAGGAUUCUCAUUUGAUAAGGAUGAGCUUCCUCACAGAGGAGGUUGGUCAUUGGUGAAGGGCAUGUGAACAGUUAUACUCGACCGUUAAAACCUCCAAGCAUUCUCAAGAAAUGCUCUCAUAUUUACUGAAUGCCUGUUCCU
rnacentral:snRNA from 1 species